GACGAACGCUGGCGGCGUGCUUAACACAUGCAAGUCGAACGGAAAGGCCUGCUUUCCCUUGUGGAUUGCGGGUCCUCGAGUGGCGAACGGGGGAGUAACACGUGAGUGAUCUGUCCCCAACUUGGGUAUAAGCCUGGGAAACUGGGUCUAAUUCCCGAUAGGACUGCAGGGUGGUGCCGGUGGUGGGACACGAUUUUCUAGUGUGUGGGGAUGAGCUCGCGGCGGAUCAGCGUGGUGGUGGGGUAAAGGCCCACCAAGGCGACGACCGGUAGCCGGUCUGAGAGGAUGAUCAGCCACACUGGAACUGAGACACGGUCCAGACUCCUACGGGAGGCAGCAGUGGGGAAUAUUGGACAAUGGGCGCAAGCCUGAUCCAGCCAUACCGCGUGGGUGAAGAAGGCCUUCGGGUUGUAAAGCCCUUUUGUUGGGAAAGAAAAGCAGCAGGUUAAGACCCCGCUGUUCUGACGGUACCCAAAGAAUAAGCACCGGCUAACUUCGUG
rnacentral:rRNA from 1 species